rnacentral:sRNA from 1 species
AAAGCUCAAGAGGUUUACGAAUGGCUGCAGGACCUGAAGAUUGUGUUUCAGCCUUGAUAUGCAGUUUGGAAACAAUGUGCUACUGUCUAACGGCGUGAACCAAAUUUCUGCUAAUGGGAAGAAGGGAAAACUCUCCACAAAAGCUGACAAAGCAGGAAGAACAGGAUGACUGAGUUUUUAGAUUAAAACUACCGGGGGCGUCUGAACUCAUGGCUGGUGGUGGAAGUAAGAGUUUCCAUAAUAUGGCCAAGUGAUCAGAUGUAUGCUGCUUAGAUUCCCGAGCAGGUGAAGAAGGCUCGAUCAGGGCAGUGGAUCAUGCCGUGAUCGGUGGCGUCGUGGCGGUGGUGGUGUUCGCCAUGCUGUGCUUGCUCAUCAUUCUGGGGCGCUAUUUUGCCAGACAUAAAGGUACAUACUUCACUCAUGAAGCCAAAGGAGCCGAUGACGCAGCAGACGCAGACACAGCUAUAAUCAAUGCAGAAGGAGGACAGAACAACUCCGAAGAAAAGAAAGAGUACUUCAUCUAGAUCAGCCUUUUUGUUUCAAUGAGGUGUCCAACUGGCCCUAUUUAGAUGAUAAAGAGACAGUGAUAUUGGAACUUGCGAGAAAUUCGUGUGUUUUUUUAUGAAUGGGUGGAAAGGUGUGAGACUGGGAAGGCUUGGGAUUUGCUG